GUGGGGAAUAUUGCACAAUGGAGGAAACUCUGAUGCAGCGACGCCGCGUGAACGAUGAAGGCCUUCGGGUCGUAAAGUUCUGUCCUAGGGGACGAUAAUGACGGUACCCUAGGAGGAAGCCCCGGCUAACUACGUGCCAGCAGCCGCGGUAAUACGUAGGGGGCGAGCGUUGUCCGGAAUUAUUGGGCGUAAAGGGUUCGCAGGUGGUUUUUUAAGUCAGAUGUGAAAGGUCACGGCUCAACCGUGGUAAGCAUUUGAAACUGGAAGACUUGAGUUAUGGAGAGGAAAGUGGAAUUCCUAGUGUAGCGGUGAAAUGCGUAGAUAUUAGGAGGAAUACCAGUGGCGAAGGCGACUUUCUGGACAUAUACUGACACUGAGGAACGAAAGCGUGGGGAGCAAACAGGAUUAGAAACCCUAGUAGUCC
rnacentral:rRNA from 1 species